UGUCGAUUUUGAAUAAUUACCGAAUUUGUAUAAAAAGAAUGUUAAAAUUUCGAAAUUAGUUAGUCUGCCUGAAAGUCUUACAAUCCAUAAUAAAAUUCAACAAAAUGAAACUACUCGCAUUCAUCAUGGUGUUGCUGUUGGCGUUAUCUCAGUUUGUACCGGCAGCAGAUGCUGAACCCCAUAGACGCCGUAGAAUCAAUCGUAGAAUCGCUAACCAACUUGCACGAAAUGGUAUCUACAGAAAGUAGAAAAAUAAAGUUAAAUUCAAUGAA